rnacentral:rRNA from 1 species
GCCUAGCCAUAAACCUAAGCAGUAUAACACCCCACUGCUCGCCAGGGUACUACAAGCCCCAGCUUAAAACCCAAAGGACUUGGCGGUGCUUUAGACCCCCCUAGAGGAGCCUGUUCCGGAAUCGAUGACCCCCGAUCUACCUCACCCUCUCUUGCUCUUUCCGCCUAUAUACCGCCGUCGUCAGCUUACCCUAUGAAGGUCAAACAGUAAGCACAAUUGGAAAAACCCAAAACGUCAGGUCAAGGUGUAGCUAACGAGAGGGAGGCAAUGGGCUACAUUUACUGCCUCAGUAAAUACGGAUUUUGCUCUGAAAAAGCACCUGAAGGAGGAUUUAGCAGUAAGAGGGGAGCAUGAGUGCCCCUCUGAAGACGGCCCUGAAGCGCGCACACACCGCCCGUCACUCUCCCCGAUCGUCAACCUAGCAUAACUAAUAAAAGCCGACCAUAAAGGGGAGGCAAGUCGUAACAAGGUAAGCGUACCGGAAGGUGCGCUUGGAAAAA